AGUCAAGUAAUUAAGUGCAUGUGGUGGAUGCCUUGGCAGUCAGAGGCGAUGAAAGACGUGAUAGCCUGCGAAAAGCUCCGGGGAGGCGGCAAAUAUCCUUUGAUCCGGAGAUUUCUGAAUGGGGGAACCCACCUACUUUAAGGUAGGUAUUGCAACAUGAAUACAUAGUGUUGCAAGGCGAACGAGGGGAAGUGAAACAUCUCAGUACCCUUAGGAAAAGAAAUCAAUUGAGAUUCCCUCAGUAGCGGCGAGCGAACGGGGAUCAGCCCAUUAAGUUAUGUGUGUUUUAGUGGAACGCUCUGGGAAGUGCGAACGUAGAGGGUGAUAUUCCCGUACACGAAAGGGCACACAUAAUGAUGACGAGUAGGGCGAGGCACGUGAAACCUUGUCUGAAUAUGGGGGGACCAUCCUCCAAGGCUAAAUACUCCUGACUGACCGAUAGUGAACCAGUACCGUGAGGGAAAGGCGAAAAGAACCCCUGUGAGGGGAGUGAAAUAGAUCCUGAAACCGCAUGCAUACAAGCAGUGGGAGCACCUUCGUGGUGUGACUGCGUACCUUUUGUAUAAUGGGUCAGCGACUUAUAUUCAGUAGCGAGGUUAACCGUAUAGGGGAGCCGUAGAGAAAUCGAGUCUUAAUAGGGCGUUUAGUUGCUGGGUAUAGACCCGAAACCAGGCGAUCUAUCCAUGAGCAGGUUGAAGGUUGGGUAACACUAACUGGAGGACCGAACCCACUGUCGUUGAAAAGCCAGGGGAUGACUUGUGGAUAGGGGUGAAAGGCUAAUCAAGCCUGGUGAUAGCUGGUUCUCCCCGAAAGCUAUUUAGGUAGCGCCUCGGACGAAUACCAUAGGGGGUAGAGCACUGUUUCGGCUAGGGGGUCAUCCCGACUUACCAAACCGAUGCAAACUCCGAAUACCUAUGAGUACUAUCCGGGAGACAGACUGCGGGUGCUAACGUCCGUAGUCAAGAGGAAAACAAUCCAGACCGCCAGCUAAGGCCCCAAAAUCAUAGUUAAGUGGGAAACGAUGUGGGAAGGCAUAGACAGCUAGGAGGUUGGCUUAGAAGCAGCCACCCUUUAAAGAAAGCGUAAUAGCUCACUAGUCGAGUCGGCCUGCGCGGAAGAUGUAACGGGGCUAAAACUAUGUGCCGAAGCUGCGGAUUU
rnacentral:rRNA from 1 species